AAGGAUGAAAAUAAUUUUCAUAUCCGUAUUUUAUUUUCCCCCACUGCGACACCAUAGCAGAGAUCAAGAGAAAGAAAGACUGAGAGGAAAUAGGAUCGAACUGCCUAGGAACGACAAUUUGACCAGCACGCCAUGAAACUCGCGAUGCACAUCCCUUAACGGGGUAGUUUUUUUCCCAAAAAUCAGGGUUGCAGGACGGAGGUGGGGCAAUAUAUUAAAAUCCCGAUCGGACCGGAUCAAGUCCGGGACAUGAAAACCCCAGUUUGAACCCGGUCCGAUAUAUAUAUGUUUUUUUUUUUUAUAUAAUUUAUUUUAUGUUAAAAAUGAUGUAACCCUAAGAAAAACAAAUAUUUUCCUUUUUUUCUGCCGCACCUUCACCUAAACAACUCCUUUCCUUUUCUUGCUGCCCCACCUUCACGUCACCACCUCACCUCACAGCUGAGCUGCUGCCGCACCUUCAUUAUCUGAUGAUUUAGCAGGUUUGCAAGAGCUGCCGCACCAUCAUAUCUUCAAAAGAUUGACAGGAAGUGAAGGAGUCGAGCUUUGGAAUAAUUGCAUAUAUGUGUCGGCAAUAACAGUAUUAGUUAUAAACUUUAUGUUUUUAUAUUUGGAUACAUUGUAUUUUAUUUUUUUUAAAAUAUAUUUUAUUAUAAUUGUAAAUUUAAAUUUGGAUAUAUUUUAUUGUAUUUUUAUUUUAGACCUUGAUGCAUUUUUUUGUAAUUUUAUUAUAUUUUAGUUACUUUAUUUA